rnacentral:rRNA from 1 species
GACGAACGCUGGCGGCGUGCUUAACACAUGCAAGUCGAACGGAAAGGCCCUGCUUUUGUGGGGUGCUCGAGUGGCGAACGGGUGAGUAACAAGUGAGUAACCUGCCCUUUACUUUUGGAUAACUUCAGGAAACUGGGGCUAAUACCGGAUAGGAGCUCCUGCUGCAUGGUGGGGGUUGGAAAGUUUCGGCGGUUGGGGAUGGACUCGCGGCUUAUCAGCUUGUUGGUGGGGUAGUGGCUUACCAAGGCUUUGACGGGUAGCCGGCCUGAGAGGGUGACCGGCCACAUUGGGACUGAGAUACGGCCCAGAAUCCUACGGGAGGCAGCAGUGGGGAAUAUUGCACAAUGGGCGGAAGCCUGAUGCAGCAACGCCGCGUGCGGGAUGACGGCCUUCGGGUUGUAAACCGCUUUCGCCUGUGACGAAGCGUGAGUGACGGUAAUGGGUAAAGAAGCACCGGCUAACUACGUG